rnacentral:lncRNA from 1 species
ACACUAGGUUUGUCUGUUUGAUAUUAUAUUCAGACCGUCAAAUUAUGCGUUUGUAUAUUACCGAAGACUUAUAAAUAAAACGUCCUUUACUGUUGUUGUGAUGACUAAUAUUUUCAUGUGUAUAAACCUGUUUGUGCUAUGGCAAUGCCAGCAGCAUCCGUGCACAACUGAGCAUUAUAUUAUUAUACUGUGUCGCCAGUAGUGUGGUUAAACGUUCAGCUAUAGUUGCGAUUUAUCGCGCGAGCUCAUUUCGAGGUGCGUGCCGUCCUAUUAUAAAUACUAUAAUAUCGUUUAUUUCUUACUCGUUCUAUUUUUGGGUAUAAUAUUAUAUUAUGCUAUUGUAUGGAUAUUGUAUUUACAUAGAUUAAAAUAUAAUGUAAUUAAAUACAAAUGUUCUUUUUCAAAAUAAUUAGCGUUCUACGGAAUGUUCUAAUAUACUUAUUAGACAAUUUUUUUAUUAUAAAAUCAGUAUCAUUUGGUCUUAGUGUUUUUUAACCGGUGUUCAAUUUUCAGUUUAAUCCGUUGGAGCUCGUUUCCGAGGAAUUGACGAGCCUAAUGGAUUCGAACAGCAGAGGCCUGAAACGGGCAAAAACCGUCCGUACGGAAUAUUUAAAGGAUGUGGACGACGUACAGAGAUGGCUUCAAGAAGCUGAAGUGAAGGUUCAAGAUCGGGGCAGUGAACCGAAAAAAAUCAAAGAACACAUUCAGGUACGUCUCAAAAUAAUAUAUGUGUUCAAAUAAUAUUUUUAGAUUAUGAGUGCAGAGUGGAGCGAAGAAGCUUAUGGUUGUACAAUAUGUUUAUUUUUUUUUUUUCCUGUGAACAAUUUUUCUACCAGAAAUAUUGCUCCGAUUUAAAAGUGGCGUAGCACUUUUUCCAAAAAGUAAAUCUGACUGGGGAUGUACUUUGAGAGGUAAUUUUUUGAUGUUCCCAGGAGUUUUCCCAAUAAAUAAGAAAACCCGGGAAAAACGUAGGAGAAACGGGAAAAUAGGUACAAUAUUAAACAAAUAUUAUUAAAGAAAAUAUAUAUUGCAUACGUUAUUAUUUUACCAUAAUAUGAAAUAUAUAUUUUUGAAAAAGCAACAUUGUCAUUGAAUUCCGCUCAGAAUAGUUUUUUCGUUAGCAAUCGUUGAUUACAGAUAAACAUUAAAUUAAUCUAUAAUAGUGGUUACACCCGUCCCUAUUAUUUAGGACAGCUAUUAUUAAUUUAAUCUUCUUAAAGUUCGUUUAACAUAUAGGUUCUUAACCUAUAUGGUUCGCGAGUCAUACCAAUAAAAUUGAAAAAAUAAUUUAACGUAAAACGUUAGUGGUUAUCGGAACCGUCUAACCUCACAAUUGAGGUCCUGCGCAACGUUUUUUUUACUAUCUGCUAAAACUUAAAGACGAAUUUAAUCGGUAUAUCCUAGAAUAUGAUGGUUUAGAAUCUAUAGAUAUCCGAAGUAUGAUUCGAAGAUGUUAUUGAGUUACAAAAUGAAUUUUUUUUUUUAUAAGUAAAAAAAAAAAUCAUCAACAGAUCGAAGUGGUUUGAGACUUAUCGAAAGUUCUCUAAGUUGUCUGUAAUGUAAAAACGCUUGGUCUAAUACAACAUUAUUCGGAUGUUUUCUAUCUUAUAUCGGUAAUAUUUUAGUAAUAAUUACAUAGAAAAGAUAAAAUACAUAAUAUUCCAAAGUUCAUUAUUAUAUCCUAUACCUAGUGUUGUAUUUAGCUAUUUGGGGUGGGGGGAGGCUGAUCAAGUUUCAUAUCUUAUGUUUUAUCUACUUUAUUAUAUUAUAUAUUAUACAAUAAUUUAAUAUUUUCUUGAAAUUUUGGGGGAAACUGCAUUUAUAAAUAACUAUCCUAAGAUAAAAUGCCAUAAAUUAAUAGUUAUAAAUACCUACAUACCUAUAUUAUAUUAACGCUUUGUUACAGUUUUGAUGUACAAAAACCAAACAUUUUCAAUAAUUGCUGUGGUGGUUUUGUUUUGUGUUGAUAAGGUUUUUGUAUAUAAAAUAUUACAAGUAAUAGUUUUAAAACAGUUAAUUAAUAUUUAGAUAAAAUAUUUAACAUUUUAUGAACAUAUAUAAUUAGAUAUUUCUCAUUGGUUACUUUUUUUUUAAAUUUUUAUUUUGAUAGUUCGUUGUUGAUUGGAAUAACUAAAAUACUCUUCAUUUAAAAAUGAAAUUUUAGUUAUAUAAUUAUUAUUAUACACGAGUAUUUCACUAUACAAAAGUUUGUUAUUUUUUUUUUUACAAGUUUUCUUGAGUUGUUAAAUUCGUAAAUAUUGUUAUGUAUAAGUUUACUAUAAAAAUAUAUGUAAUGAAAACACAAAUUUUAACAUUUGAUUUUUAUAAUAGGUAAUAUAAAUUCCAUGUUUAUUGAUAAAAAUUUUUUAUUAAAAUCCUUUAUAUACAAUUUUUCAAUGAAAUUAGAUAUUUAUACAUAAAAGUACGGACAUACUUCGCAUGUGGGUGCAGCCACUGUAGUUGGGGAGGUAGGAUACAGACGGGAAUUUAAUGGACCAUAUCUGUAAGCAACGAUAAACCAUUGCCAAUGAAAACUAUUUUGAGUGGAGUUUACUUGAUAGUGUUGCUUUGUAACAAUAUAUGAAAUUAUAUAAUAAUUUUAUAAUAUAAAAUGAUUACAAUAAUGUGAGUUUCCAUGACAACAAUGAUUGAUUAAAAAGAUUUAAAAUUAUAAAAACUUAAUAAUAACAAAAAAUAAAUAAAAACGGUAACCAAUGACAACCUUAUUUUUAAUCCUUUUUAACCUGAAAAACCAGGUUUUCUUCAUUAUCUCGAAUAUUAAUGAGAAUUUCAAAAAUUGACCUCUUUAAAGUACCACCCCGAGAAUAUUUCCUUUCAGAAAAGGUGCUAUAUACUUAAUAAUCGAAGUAUGCUUUCUGGUAGAAAAAGUGUUAAAAUAAAAAAAAUAAAAAAAUAAACAUCAUUGUGAAACUAAUACAUUCCUCGCUCCAUUUAGAAUCUAAAAAUAUUUGGUACAAGUUAUUUUUUUUUAAUAUAGUUACAUUUAAAUUUAACUAAUAUUUUAUUUUUAAAAAUUAUUUUAUUUAUAAUUAAAUUACCUAUCAUAUAAUUGUAGGUAUAAUAAUGGAACUUUUAUUUUGCUUUAUAUUUUUGAUUAUUUCUAAAUUACAAUUAAGUAUAUGUAAAGAAAAAAUUACAAAUUCAUAUUUUUUAUUCAUUUAAUAAUAUUGCGUUAAAUUUGUUGAAAAUAAGUCAUUUAUUUGGCCAACCUGAACUCAUAAGUAUGAGUGUAUGUAACUCAUACAUAUGCAUCAAAUUAAAAGAUAAGAUCCAUCUUUAUUGGUUUUUUUUUUGUGAUUAUCGCACACCUUACCUUUACAGUUGAAUCAUGCUGCAUUGUAUUUUAGUACGGUGUGUGUUGCCUUGUGUCUAGGUUUGUAUUUUAUGAUUUGUUCAGUAUGAAAUAUAUUUAUACAUUUAUAAUUUCAAAAAUAUCUCAAGUACAAAGUGAAAUUAAGUUACCAGUAUAAUAUUAAUUAUUAAUAAUUAAUUUAAGUAUUAGUUUUUAUAUUUCAAACUUUUUUCGCAAGUAUAAUUUUUUUUGUAUGUUUUUAAAAGUAAAAUUUAUUUUUCAUAGGUUUUUAUAUUGCAUAUUUAUUCCAUCACUAAAUCAAUUAGAUUAUUAUUAUUGUUAAUAUGAAUAAUAUUUUAAUACAUACUAUAAAAUAUUGAAAUUGAAUUACAUGAUUUUUUGUUUUAGACAAUCGAGGAUGAGAUUAAUGCAGUUAACGAUAAAUUGAAUAGAGCUAUAAAACAUGGUAAAGAAAUCAUCGAAAAAACAAAAGAUGAAGAGGAAAAAGAAAUGAUUCCAAAAACCAUUGAAUCAUUAGUUGGAAAAAUGAGUCAAGUAAAACUAUGGUUAGAUGAAAAACGUAAUCAAGUAAGUUAUAAACAUACUUGCAAACAUAUAUUUAAAAAAAAAUUGUUUUUAAUAUUUGUUAAAUAAACUUGAGCAAUUGAGUAGUUUAUAAUAUACAAAGUAUCAAAUUUGUUUUAUAGCAGUAGGUAUACUUUGCUAUUAUAAAAUAUUUGAAUUCAGUAUUAUUAACCAUGUUGUAUAAUAAACAAAUGAAAUAAAUCACAAUAAUAAUAAUAAAUUAUAAAGAUAAUAAUUUAUUAUAAAUAAUAAUAAAAAUUAUUUAACUAUCUAGCUGUAGUUAAUAACGAAAUAUUAUAUCAUUUCAAAUAUAAAAAGUUUAUACUACUAUAAAAUAAUGGGCAAUGUUUGUAUAUUAUGAGACUAUUGAUAUAUGAAACUGACAUUAUUAUUAUUAUUUUUAUUUAGAUUGGAGACACAUUGGACGCCUGGCAAAAAUUCCUUUCUGUUUAUGAUUUGGUAAUGGCUUGGUGCGAAAGCAAAACAAAAUAUUUAGAAGAUCCAAUUAAUUUAAGUUCAUUAGAAGCUGCAAAACAAAAAUCCCAUGAAUUUUCGGUAAUUUAUCAUUACAACUAAAUAUUGUAUUUUAAAUUCAACAUAACAUAGAUUUAAUCACGUAGGUAUUGUAACACUUGUUUACAGGUUGCUGUGAAAUCAUGCAAACAACAAACCAAAAACCUAGCUGAAAUGAGCAAAGAAUUGGAUAUUAUUGCCUUAUCAACUGAUGUUGGACAGCUGCCUGAAAAAUUAGAAGAAGCUAAUAAUGCCAAAAAUGAUGUUGAAGGAAAACUUUCAGAAAAGGUAAAUCAUAUUACUUAAAACAUUAUUAAAUAAUAAUUUGUUCAAAAUCUUUGAAUAAAAUAUAUUAUAAUAAAUUACAAUUGAUUAAAAUUAUGAAGAAUGCACUACUGCAUGAGACAUGUGAAGAAUGGGAGCAAUUUGAACGGAAAUUAAAAGAUGUUAAAUCAUUUAUUGACAAGUCUCAAAGUGCCAUAGAAUCUACUACUAAUAAAAAACGAACAUUACGUGAACAACAUGAUCUAAGAGAAAAAAUGUUGGCAGAUAUUACAAUACAAAGAAAAAAGAUUACAUUGUCUACUGAAAAAUUACAGGUUAGAUAAUGUGUAAAAUUGUCUGUUUAAAUAUGCCAUUACCUGGAUUUUUGAAUCUUAAAAAGUGGUGUACAGAAAUAAAGCAUUAAAUUAUUUUUUUGGUAAUAGUUGUAUUCUAUGAACUUGACACAAUAUAGUGAUGAAUUAUUUUAAAAUUUAAAUGUCAUAAUAAAUUUAAAACUUAAGUUGGAAUUCCUAAUAAAAACCUUUUAAAUGAAGAAAUUUGAAAAAUAAAAUAAAAAUAUAAUUAUUCAAUUUAUAUUUGUGAAAUAUGAUUGAAGUUCGGUUACAUGUGUUUUAUAAUUUUGUAAUUUUUACAAUUUUUAUCAAAAUCAAUCUUAAAAUUAAGAAAAUAAAAUAACUACAUUACAAUCAACUUUUUUAUUACUACGUACAACUUAUAAUGAACUUCGUGUUAAAUUUCAAGUGUUUCUGUGUGCAAACCUAUGCGUUUGGGUGUUUAAUGCUAAACUAGUUUUAUUAAUGGUAAUCAAAGAAACAAUUGUUAAAAUUGUUUUUCGUAUCUUUGGUUUACCAUUGUAUUAUGUCACCCAUUUACUUAGUUAACUUAUUAUAUUUUGAACAUGCACAAUUCAUAUUUAAAUGAUUUAAAAAUUCAUAUUAAAUUCUAAAAACAAUACUUUUUGGCGACAUAUUAUGGUAUGCAAAAUACUAAUACACACCUACAAUUAACGUAUAACAAAGCCAUUCAUUAUUGUAAGACUUCUUAGCUCUGCACACAAUUUAAAAAUAUUUAAAUAUUUUCCGUUUUUACAACUUAUUUGAGUACUCAAUUUAAAUAAAUCAGAUUUUCAAAUGUAGUUUAAUUGAAUAAAAAUCAGAUACUUAGUAUUAAAAUAAUACUUUAUACAAGUUCUAUUUAUGUAUCUAUAGUGUAAAUGUAGCUAUUUAAAAAUAUAAAAAUAAAAAAAUGGUUACAUUACUAUAAUCUCAGUAGUUAAAAAUAUUAAUAAGUUUUUAAAAGUACUACACUUUCUUUAUAUUGUAGGUUUUUUAACGUUUAAACUUCAGUAUUUUAAUUAAAUUUUGUAAUAAAAUAACCGUUAUUCAGUGUUCAAUUUUAAAAAUAGCAUUUUUUAAUUCAAAUUCAGACUUUAACGUAAUCUUAAAUUUUUCUGAGUGGGUAAUUCUUAUAGAAUAAAGAUACCUCUUGCAUCAGUUGCCUAAAAGCCAAAGUCAACCAGUAAUGGGUAAAAUUGGUGUGAACAAUUUAAUACACAAUGUAAAAUUUAUUUAUUGUUUUAUAUAAAAUAUUAAUUAAAAAUGUUUUAAUCUAAAAGUGUUUUAUUUUAUUAUUUAUUUUAGAUACAUUUCCGAGCUGGUUUUGGGGGCAGUGAAAACAUAGAACAUUUAUCUGAAGACAAUUUGUCUCAUCUAGAUAACUUAUAUAAAAUUGUAGAAGAACAGGCUCAUAAUUUAGAAGAUAGUCUUUCACAGCUCGAUAGAUAUCAACAAGUAAAUGCGUACUAAUGAUUUGGCAUACAACAAUAGUACCUAACUCAUAUUUGUAUUACAGGAAAUCCAACAUCUUCGGCAAAAAGUCAUAACUGCCGAGCAACAAUUAAGACUCACUCAGAGUCCAACAUAUUUACCUCAUGAUAGACAAAAAGCUCUACUAGAACAAAAUGUAAGUUUUCAUACUAAUUUUAAUUUAAGAGGUAGUUUAUAAAAAAAUUAAACAUUUCUAAAUGUUGGUCUUAUACAGUAUAUUAUAUGCUGAAUUAUACAAUUUUAAUGUAAAAUUGGCUUUCAAAAUUUAUUUGUAGAUAAUCUUAUCAGUUUAAUUUUAAUAAUUGUAGUUGGGAAGAAGGAAUUAAAGGAAAUUAGUGAGAAUAUAUUUUAUUUAUACAUUAAUUACUUAUUAAACAAUUUAAACAUUUAAAUUAUAAUUUGUAAGCAAUUAGUUGUUAUAAAAUUUAAAAUAUGUACUAAGUAAGAUAGAAUAUUAUAUAAUUUGUAAGACAAUUUCGAUGUAUACAUUAAAAAGAUACUCUUCUGAAUGAAAACAUUAAAAAAAAAACCGUUCCAUUGAUUGGAACAUUGCAGGCGUUUCAAGAACAAACACGAGUGCUGCAAAGCAAGAUUAAUUCAAGGACCGAACGAAUCAAACUGAUCAUUCAACGAGGCUCCCCGAUAUCUGACCCAUUAUUAAAUUAACUAGACAUUUAAUUGUAUUUAUUUAACUUCAUAUUCAUUCCAAAAUUCUAUUUAAGCUAUUAAAAAAAAAAAAUUCCAAAAUAAAAAUUAGUUUCUAAAGAAAUUUAUUCGGUCAUGCAGGACGUUCGAAACGCACUGGAAUCAUAUCGGCAUCGUUUGGAUUGCACUGUGAAUGCUGUACGAACGCAUAUCAAUCAUUUUAUUGGUUCCAAUCCUUUGUUGGCAUCUACGUCAUGUACAGAUCCCUUAAAUAAUCUUAAAAAUCUUCAAAAACAAACUUAUGUUAGAAAACCCCGAAUAGUUCUAAAUUCAACUGAACCAAAUCAACAAUCAAUAUUCAAAUCACGAUCACCUUCUCCAUUUUGGAUAAAAGGACAAACUUCUUUGUAUUCUGAAGUUGUCAAAUCUGGUUUUGUAUCAAGAAAUAAUAGUAGAUGCAUGAGCCCCAAAUCAAAAUCAAUAGAAGGACAUAUAAGUCGAAAAUCACAUUUUAAUUUACUUAAAACACCAUUUGUGAGAGAUAGAAGUAAAUCACCUAAAGAUAAGUGUCAAAAGAAUGAUUUUGAAAAAAGUAAAUUGUUUUCCGUGCCACCAAAAACAAUAUUGUUAUCUACCAAUGGAUCAGCAGUUCCAUCUAAAGAAUUCAAAGAUAACUUAAAUAUUAGUACACCUAAUUCACAAAAUAUUAAAAGGCGAUCCCGGUCUAGACGGAAUCAGAAGUCAAAAGACCAUUUCAAAAAUGAAUCCGUUACUGACAAAGUAGUAUUAAAAACUUCUAAAUUUGAAAACAUUAUAAUUAAUCAAAGUAUAAAUACAAAUUUAUCAAUAAAACCGAAAAUUAUUGUGUCAGAUACAAAAAAUCAACAUAAUUGUUGUACAAAUGCUGAAUUUCAAAAUGCACAUCAACCAUUAGCAAAGCCUGAUGUAGAAACCUGUACCCAAACCGACACAGUAGUAGAUGAUUUGUAUGCUAUUUUAAAUCAGAAACUUUUAAAUUCUGACACUGUAAUACCUUUAAACACUAUUGGCACCCUUUCUAAAGCUCAGUUACCCUUAGCUAAUGUGUCUGAUACUGAAUAUUCAAACUGUUGCUUUGAUUUAAAUGAACAACUGAAGGGAAUAUUUGGUUCAGUUGACCAGAAACACUACAAACAUCAUAUUUUUGAUCGACCACGUUCCAAAUCUGACACUCGCGAUCUCAAUAAACUCACACAGAUAUUUAAUAGCCAAAAUACUAAUGGAAAAUACACGUGCUGUUUCGAACGUAGUGCUGAAUCAGUAAAAAAUAUUUCCAGUAGGGACUUUACUUCCGGUAGACGUUCUUUUGAUAAAAUUUUAUCCCCUUUUGGAAAUGUACAAAUGGCAAGUUCAGAUGGAACUAACAAUGAAAGCAAAAAAACCGUAAGAUUAAGUGUGGAAAUUUAAUGUUUUAUAAUUGUAUUGUUUUUAAAAGUAAAUUUAAUGUUUUUUGUGAUUUGAUUAAUAUUUGAUUAGUAUUUUGUUACUUAAUUUGUUAAAAACAUUUUUGGAUUUAUUAUAUUUGUCAUGUACAGAGAAAUUUUUAAAUUUUUGAUUAUAAUUCAAUAGGAAUGAUAGGUACCUAUUCUAAAGAAUUGAUUUUAAAUAUUAUAAAAAGAGUACAGAGAAAACAAAUAAAUAUAUUGUAGACCUAUUUUUAGUCAAAUUCUGAAACUUUAUCUCUAUUCAAAGUAAUUUUUAGAAUACAAUGAUAAAAAAAUAAUAAAUCUUAAAAUGUAUCUACAAAAGUUUAAUUAAAACAAAUCGCACUAACAAUAAUUAUUAUUGUAAAUGUGUUUGUAGUGUAUCAUAUAACAACUAACACAUGAUGGGUGAUUCAAUAAUUUGUUAUCUGUUAACAUAAUAUUAUUUGUUAUUAAGUACAGAGUUAUUGAAAAUAUUUUUUUUUCCAGAGUAUAAAAUCAAAUUUACAAGCACUGGGUGAUGAGAGUAUCCCAUUAGAAUUAGCUAUUAAACCAUUUUUAACAUAUGAUGAAGGACAUAUUGCAAUACAAGAAUUAAAUUCAACACAAACAAUGAUUUCUUCCUUAGUUAAUAGCAAUGAUAAUCAAUCAAAAACCGAAGCAAUAAAAGACCUUACAACAAAUGUUCAACAAUUUGAUAAUAUUUUAUUAGAAUUUGAAGAUGAAGAUAAAGAUGAAUUUGUAAGUUAAAAAUUAUAAACUCGCAUAAAAUUUAAUGCCAAGUUUAUAUAUAUUUUUUUUAUUAAAGGAAAAAUUAUACAAUAUAAGUAUCAAUAUCAAUAAAUUAAAAAAGAUUAUAACUCAAUUCACAAUUUAUGAAGAAAUAGAAGAAUUUAAAGUUUUAAUUAAUCAACUUAAAAUCAUAAUGAAACAAUUUGAAAAUAAAAAUAAAAUUAUUACUCAGGUAUACCAUCAGUUUGCAUUAAAUUACAUUAUAAGCAAUACCUAUAUUUCUUGUAGAAAGAGAAAUAAUUUUAAUGUAUUCAUAUUUGAAAUACACAUAAUUUUUAAUGGAAUUGUUUUUAGAUUAUAUCAAUUGUUAUAUUUAUGAGACUUGUUAAUUUAUAUACUGUUUCAAAUUAAUUUUUCAGCGAACAUUAAAUUAUACAGAUGAUACUAUAAGCUAUUAUGAAAAUUUGUUAUUAAUUUUUAAAGAUAGUGGUUUAAAAAAUGAGGUAAAUAUAUUUUUUUUAUAUAUAUUUCACAAUUCCUUUAUAAUUUUUUGUUAUAUAGGUAUUGUAAUUGUUUUAUACAUUUUUUAGAAUAAUAUAGAAGAAAACAUUUUUGAAUUAAAAAAUAAACUUCAUGAAUUGGAAAUGUACCAAGAAAAUAUUGAAUUCGAAACACGCAUUUUAAAACUAAAACAUAUAAUUGAAAAACUUGAAAUUAUAAAUUGUGAAAUUUCAACAAUGAAACAGGUAUGUUUGCACGUUUAUAAUAAUAUUAUAAUAUCACAUA